UGGAUCCAGACUUUGAUUCUGGCUCAGGAUGAACGCUAGCUACAGGCUUAACACAUGCAAGUCGAGGGGAAACGACAUCGAAGGCUUGCUUUUGAUGGGCGUCGACCGGCGCACGGGUGAGUAACGCGUAUCCAACCUGCCCAUCACUUGGGGAUAACCUUGCGAAAGUAAGACUAAUACCCAAUGACGUCUCUAGAAGACAUCUGAAAGAGAUUAAAGAUUUAUCGGUGAUGGAUGGGGAUGCGUCUGAUUAGCUUGUUGGCGGGGUAACGGCCCACCAAGGCAACGAUCAGUAGGGGUUCUGAGAGGAAGGUCCCCCACAUUGGAACUGAGACACGGUCCAAACUCCUACGGGAGGCAGCAGUGAGGAAUAUUGGUCAAUGGGCGAGAGCCUGAACCAGCCAAGUAGCGUGCAGGAUGACGGCCCUAUGGGUUGUAAACUGCUUUUAUAAGGGAAUAAAGUGAGUCUCGUGAGACUUUUUGCAUGUACCUUAUGAAUAAGGACCGGCUAAUUCCGUGCCAGCAGCCGCGGUAAUACGGAAGGUCCGGGCGUUAUCCGGAUUUAUUGGGUUUAAAGGGAGCGUAGGCCGGAGAUUAAGCGUGUUGUGAAAUGUAGACGCUCAACGUCUGCACUGCAGCGCGAACUGGUUUCCUUGAGUACGCACAAAGUGGGCGGAAUUCGUGGUGUAGCGGUGAAAUGCUUAGAUAUCACGAAGAACUCCGAUUGCGAAGGCAGCUCACUGGAGCGCAACUGACGCUGAAGCUCGAAAGUGCGGGUAUCGAACAGGAUUAGAUACCCUGGUAGUCCGCACGGUAAACGAUGGAUGCCCGCUGUUGGUCUGAAUAGGUCAGCGGCCAAGCGAAAGCAUUAAGCAUCCCACCUGGGGAGUACGCCGGCAACGGUGCAACUCAAAUGAAUUGACGGA
rnacentral:rRNA from 1 species